GAUGAACGCUGGCGGCGUGCCUAAUACAUGCAAGUCGAGCGAACGGACGAGAAGCUUGCUUCUCUGAUGUUAGCGGCGGACGGGUGAGUAACACGUGGAUAACCUACCUUUAAGACUGGGAUAACUUCGGGAAACCGGAGCUAAUACCGGAUGAUAUUUUGAACCGCAUGGUUCAAAAGUGAAAGACGGUCUUGCUGUCACUUAUAGAUGGAUCCGCGCUGCAUUAGCUAGUUGGUAAGGUAACGGCUUACCAAGGCAACGAUGCAUAGCCGACCUGAGAGGGUGAUCGGCCACACUGGAACUGAGACACGGUCCAGACUCCUACGGGAGGCAGCAGUAGGGAAUCUUCCGCAAUGGGCGAAAGCCUGACGGAGCAACGCCGCGUGAGUGAUGAAGGUCUUCGGAUCGUAAAACUCUGUUAUUAGGGAAGAACAUAUGUGUAAGUAACUGUGCACAUCUUGACGGUACCUAAUCAGAAAGCCACGGCUAACUACGUG
rnacentral:rRNA from 1 species